CAUCCAGCUGAUGACCAACUAUGGAAGCCGCCAAGCAAGGUGCAGCCGCCCUUGUCGUGCAGCAGUGGCGAGCUUGCAGGGCUGUGGUGCAGGAAGUCCGAGUGGCCACGCUCCCUCGCCCAGGACGGUGGCAAACCGCCUGCCAGAGCCGUCAGCUUGGAAGGGACCAAGCCUCUGGCUUCUGCUUGGCCUUCCCGUUUGACUGCCUCUGUUUCUCUCAACAGUUGCACUGGAAGCGAGGGAGGCUGCGAUGAGGAAGAAGAACUCCUUGAAGUCAUGUUUAUGCAAGUGUAGAACGAUGAGUAUAGUUUACCGUAAUUUAUGGAUUUUGUGUGUUUUUUUUAAAAAAGGUUAGUAACAUCUGUUAAAAACCUAUACUCUAAGAGGCUAAGUCUGAAGUCCACUUGGCUGCAAAACAACCACACUUUCCCGGGGGUGGGCAGGAGAGUGCCCGGAAUAUUAGUUCCCCCCCCCCUCAAAGUCCUCAGCACAUGUCCUGGCAGGAAGACGCCGGCGGGUUGCCAAGAAAAGAGGAAAAGAAAGUGAAACGCUUCCUCCGAGGAGUAUAUAGGGGGGACAUCAGAGGUUCACUCCCUGCAGCCUCCCGACAGCCCUCUGAGAAGAGAAUCCUGCUCUGCACCACCUCUGGCUAGCACCAUGGCCCUCCGUUCUGUGCUUCCCUUCUGCCUCCUGGCUGCUGCAGCUCUGGCUCUCUGCAUCCUUCCUGCCCAAGCCGUCAGGAACAAUUUGGAGGACUGCUGCCAGUCAACCAGAGAUGUACCUUUGCAAGCCAGAAAUGCAAACAGAUUUGCAACUUACCGUAUACAGAAGCCACAGAUGGGCUGCUCAAUCCCUGCAAUUGUGCUGAUCACUACGAAUGGCCGUGGACUGUGUUUCCCUCCAGAGUCUAAGUCGGCUUUGGCCAUCAAGAGAGUACUGGAUGCCAGAGCACUCCGGAAGCAGAAGCAGUCCUAAGGGCUCAAGGUGGGCAUCACGUACACUUAUCAUGUCUGUCUGGAGGAGGAAUGGGGACCCACUCUUGGCUAUGCUAGCUGGGGAAUUCUGGGUGCAAAAAGGAACUUACUCAAGCUCUGUGCAUUUUUUGGGGUGGGGGUGGGGAGACUGAGUGGCAUCCAAAGUUUUGCCCGUGAGUGAAAUGAAGAGGACUCAAAGGGGGGGGGAGAUCAAGAGCCUGCUCUGAGGGGCCACCUCACCCCUUUGCAUCUUCUAUGGGGUUCAGUGAUGGCAGCUUUCCCACUGAGCGACGUUCCUGCCUUAGGGGUGCAGGUGACCUCUUGAGCGCCGGGGCGCCAUGGGAUGGAUGGAUUUCUUGGACACCAAGUCCCAGGGAGUGGAUUUUUCUGUACACAUACGAAAUAUGAGUAUUUUUUUUAACAAAGUGCUUGUAAAGAGUUUUAAACUUAAAAUCCUUUCAAUAAUAUUAUUAAAAUUAGUUCUACCUUAAUACUUGUGAUUCUGUUGUGUUUUACGGUCCUUUGGCUUUAAGCUGUUUUGUAAGCUGCCUGGAAUCUCAGUUCUGGGAUAAAGGUGGCAUAGAAAUAAAACAAAUAAAUGUUCAGGAAACCUGGGUCCA
ensembl:lncRNA